rnacentral:rRNA from 1 species
AUUGAACGCUGGCGGCAUGCUUUACACGUGCAAGUCGAACGGUAACAGGCCGCAAGGUGCUGACGAGUGGCGAACGGGUGAGUAAUGCAUCGGAACGUGCCCAGUCGUGGGGGAUAACUACUCGAAAGAGUAGCUAAUACCGCAUACGAUCUAUGGAUGAAAGCGGGGGACCGUAAGGCCUCGCGCGAUUGGAGCGGCCGAUGUCAGAUUAGGUAGUUGGUGGGGUAAAGGCUCACCAAGCCAACGAUCUGUAGCUGGUCUGAGAGGACGACCAGCCACACUGGGACUGAGACACGGCCCAGACUCCUUCGGGAGGCAGCAGUGGGGAAUUUUGGACAAUGGGCGCAAGCCUGAUCCAGCAAUGCCGCGUGCAGGAAGAAGGCCUUCGGGUUGUAAACUGCUUUUGUACGGAACGAAACGGCUCUGGUUAAUACCCGGGGCUAAUGACGGUACCGUAAGAAUAAGCACCGGCUAACUACGUG